UUUCAGCUAGAGUAUGAUAGAGGAAAGCAGAAUUUCUAGUGUAGAGGUGAAAUUCGUAGAUAUUAGAAAGAAUACCAAUUGCGAAGGCAGCCUUCUGGAUCAUUACUGACACUGAGGAACGAAAGCAUGGGUAGCGAAGAGGAUUAGAUACCCUCGUAGUCCAUGCCGUAAACGAUGUGUGUUAGACGUUGGAAAUUUAUUUUCAGUGUCGCAGCGAAAGCGAUAAACACACCGCCUGGGGAGUACGACCGCAAGGUUAAAACUCAAAUGAAUUGACGGGGACCCGCACAAGUAGUGGAGCAUGUGGUUUAAUUCGAAGAUACGCGCAGAACCUUACCAACACUUGACAUGUUCGUCGCGACUCUAAGAGAUUAGAGUUUUCGGUUCGGCCGGACGAAACACAGGUGCUGCAUGGCUGUCGUCAGCUCGUGUCGUGAGAUGUUGGGUUAAGUCCCGCAACGAGCGCAACCCUCACUUUUAGUUGCCAUCAUUAAGUUGGGCACUCUGAAAGAACUGCCAGUGAUAAGCUGGAGGAAGGUGGGGAUGACGUCAAGUCCUCAUGGCCCUUACGUGUUGGGCUACACACGUGCUACAAUGGUAUCUACAACAGGAAGCAAGACUGCGAGGUCAAGCAAAUCCUUAAAAGAUACCUCAGUUCGGAUUGCACUCUGCAACUCGAGUGCAUGAAGCUGGAAUUACUAGUAAUCGUGGAUCAGCGUGCCACGGUGAAUGCGUUCCCGGGUCUUGUACACACCGCCCGUCACACCAUGGGAGUUGGUUCUACCUUAAGGCAAGGUUUCAAACCCUUGACCACGGUAUAGUCAGCGACUGGGGUGAAGUCGUAACAAGGUAAC
rnacentral:rRNA from 1 species